rnacentral:siRNA from 1 species
CAUAAAGUGCCUCAUACGGAGC